UACAGAGGGUGCAAGCGUUAAUCGGAAUUACUGGGCGUAAAGCGUGCGUAGACGGUUAUGUAAGUCAGAUGUGAAAGCCCCGGGCUUAACCUGGGAAUGGCAUUUGAGACUGCAUAGCUAGGGUGCGGAAGAGGGAAGCGGAAUUUCCGGUGUAGCGGUGAAAUGCGUAGAUAUACGGAAGGAACACCAGUGGCGAAAGCGGCUUCCUGGUCCAGCACCGACGUUCAGGCACGAAAGCGUGGGGAGCAAACAGG
rnacentral:rRNA from 1 species